rnacentral:rRNA from 1 species
CCUACGGGAGGCAGCAGUGGGGAAUAUUGCACAAUGGGCGCAAGCCUGAUGCAGCGACGCCGCGUGAGGGAUGGAGGCCUUCGGGUUGUGAACCUCUUUCGCCAGUGAAGCAGGCCUGUCCCUUGGUGGGUGGGUUGACGGUAGCUGGAUAAGAAGCGCCGGCUAACUACGUGCCAGCAGCCGCGGUAAUACGUAGGGCGCGAGGGUUGUCCGGAAUUAUUGGGCGUAAAGAGCUCGUAGGCGGCUGGUCGCGUCUGUCGUGAAAUCCUCUGGCUUAACUGGGGGCUUGCGGUGGGUACGGGCCGGCUUGAGUGCGGUAGGGGAGGCUGGAACUCCUGGUGUAGCGGUGGAAUGCGCAGAUAUCAGGAAGAACACCGGUGGCGAAGGCGGGUCUCUGGGCCGUUACUGACGCUGAGGAGCGAAAGCGUGGGGAGCGAACAGGAUUAGAUACCCCAGUAGUC